UACGUAGGGGGCAAGCGUUGUCCGGAUUUAUUGGGCGUAAGGAGCGUGUAGGCGGCCAGGUAGGUCCGUUGUGAAAACUCGAGGCUCAACCUCGAGACGUCGGCGGAAACCCUCUGGCUAGAGUCCGGAAGAGGAGAGUGGAAUUCCUGGUGUAGCGGUGAAAUGCGCAGAUAUCAGGAAGAACACCCGUGGCGAAGGCGGCUCUCUGGGACGGUACUGACGCUGAGACGCGAAAGCGUGGGGAGCAAACAGG
rnacentral:rRNA from 1 species